rnacentral:rRNA from 1 species
CCGAGACUCAGUGAAAUUGAACUCGCUGUGAAGAUGCAGUGUACCCGCGGCAAGACGGAAAGACCCCGUGAACCUUUACUAUAGCUUGACACUGAACAUUGAGCCUUGAUGUGUAGGAUAGGUGGGAGGCUUUGAAGUGUGGACGCCAGUCUGCAUGGAGCCGACCUUGAAAUACCACCCUUUAAUGUUUGAUGUUCUAACGUGGACCCGUGAUCCGGGUUGCGGACAGUGUCUGGUGGGUAGUUUGACUGGGGCGGUCUCCUCCUAAAGAGUAACGGAGGAGCACGAAGGUUGGCUAAUCCUGGUCGGACAUCAGGAGGUUAGUGCAAUGGCAUAAGCCAGCUUGACUGCGAGCGUGACGGCGCGAGCAGGUGCGAAAGCAGGUCAUAGUGAUCCGGUGGUUCUGAAUGGAAGGGCCAUCGCUCAACGGAUAAAAGGUACUCCGGGGAUAACAGGCUGAUACCGCCCAAGAGUUCAUAUCGACGGCGGUGUUUGGCACCUCGAUGUCGGCUCAUCACAUCCUGGGGCUGAAGUAGGUCCCAAGGGUAUGGCUGUUCGCCAUUUAAAGUGGUACGCGAGCUGGGUUUAGAACGUCGUGAGACAGUUCGGUCCCUAUCUGCCGUGGGCGCUGGAGAACUGAGGGGGGCUGCUCCUAGUACGAGAGGACCGGAGUGGACGCAUCACUGGUGUUCGGGUUGUCAUGCCAAUGGCACUGCCCGGUAGCUAAAUGCGGAAGAGAUAAGUGCUGAAAGCAUCUAAGCACGAAACUUGCCCCGA